AUGUUUUGGCAAAGACCAACCUCAGUUGCUUCAAGGGGACAUAUUAAUAAUGAGAUAUUGUUUUUAAGCAUGUUGCUCUUUGUGAAAGAGUCUCUGUCCCUGUUCUCAGCUGCAGCUCCAUUUGCAGCCUGGCUUUUCUGUGUCUUGGACCUGUGUCUUUCUGAAAGACAGCUGAGGGAACUGGGAGGGAAUCUGGAGGGUUGGAUGUCCUGCUCACUGCUGAGGCCGCCCCUGCAGUGCUGGGCCCAGCGCUGGGCCCCCCAGCCCCAGCCAGAGCUGGGCACCCUGGGGAGAGCCCAGCGCAGGGCCCCCGAGGUGCCGAAGGGCCUGGAGCACCUCUGCCGUGAGGAGAGGCUGCGAGAGCUGGGGCUGCUGGGCCUGGAGCAGAGGAGGCUCCGGGGGCUGCCAGCCAUGGCCACCAGCACUGCCGGGAGGUGCCGAGAGGCCGGAGCCAGGCUCUGCUCAGGGGUGCCCGGGGCCAGGCCCAGAGGCCCCGGGCCCAGCCUGGAGCCCAGGAGGUGCCCUCUGCCCCUCAGGAAGCACUGCUGGGCUGGGCGGGUGCCGGAGCCCUGGCACAGGCUGCCCAGAGAGGGGCUGGGGGCUCCUCCUUGGGGAUCUCCAGCAGCCGCCUGGACGUGGGGCUGGGCCCCCUGCUCGGGGUGGCCCUGCUGGAGCAGGGCUGGCACCACAGGGACCCGCAGCUGCCCCACACCACCAGCCNNNNNNNNNNNNNNNNNNNNUGCUCAGGGGUGCCCGGGGCCAGGCCCAGAGGCCCCGGGCCCAGCCUGGAGCCCAGGAGGUGCCCUCUGCCCCUCAGGAAGCACUGCUGGGCUGGGCGGGUGCCGGAGCCCUGGCACAGGCUGCCCAGAGAGGGGCUGGGGGCUCCUCCUUGGGGAUCUCCAGCAGCCGCUGGAGAAGUCCUGGGGGGGCCAACAUUUCAGCUGGUCUCUGUGGUCUGCUAUGCCAGGCACUGGUCAUCUUUUUGGCCCUAGGCUCACCAGGACCAGACACCUGUAG
rnacentral:lncRNA from 1 species